rnacentral:rRNA from 1 species
UGCAAUGCGGAGCUACCAUGCAAGUCGUACGAGAAGGUUCCUUCGGGAACUGGAGAGUGGCGCACGGGUGAGUAACGCGUGGGGACCUACCUCUUAGUGGGGGAUAACGGUUGGAAACGACCGCUAAUACCGCAUACGCCCUUCGGGGGAAAGAUUUAUCGCUAAGAGAUGGACCCGCGUUGGAUUAGAUAGUUGGUGAGGUAACGGCUCACCAAGUCAGCGAUCCAUAGCUGGUUUGAGAGGAUGAUCAGCCACACUGGGACUGAGACACGGCCCAGACUCCUACGGGAGGCAGCAGUGGGGAAUAUUGGACAAUGGGCGCAAGCCUGAUCCAGCCAUGCCGCGUGAGUGAAGAAGGCCUUCGGGUUGUAAAGCUCUUUCAGAUGCGAAGAUGAUGACGGUAACAUCAGAAGAAGCCCCGGCUAAUUUCGUGCCAGCAGCCGCGGUAAUACGAAAGGGGCAAGCGUUGUUCGGAUUUACUGGGCGUAAAGGGCACGCAGGCGGUCCUGCCAGUCAGG